CCGGGUGGACGACGCCGUGGCUGCCAAGCACCCGGUGAGAAGGCUGGUCUGGGACGCGGGCCUCAGACCCCAGAAGCUGACCUGAGCGAGGUGGGGGGCUGGGGCGUGGGGGUGCCCUCGUCAGGGAAGAGUGGCGGAGACUGGGGGCACUCUCUUGCUAAGGGGCUCAGGGCGUCUGGGCGGGCAUAGGGGAGGUGGGACGUGUCCAAGCGCCCAGGGUCUCACUCCUCCACAGCCAGGGUGUGCCCAGAGGAGGGACAGGAGAGGCGGUGAAGGAAGAGGGCAGGGGAUCGAGCCUUCACCCGCCUCUGCCACCCCAGGGACUCGGGGAGUAUGCCGCAUGCCAGUCACACGCCUUCAUGAAGGGCGUUUUCACCUUCGUCACAGGCACCGGCAUGGCCUUCGGCUUGCAGAUGUUCAUUCAGAGGAAGUUUCCAUACCCUUUGCAGUGGAGCCUUCUAGUGGCCGUGGUUGCAGGCUCUGUGGCCAGCUACGGGGUGACAAGAGUGGAGUCAGAGAAAUGCAGCAACCUCUGGCUCUUCCUGGAGACCGGGCAGCUCCCCAAAG
rnacentral:sRNA from 1 species